GGAGGUGUAGCUCAGUGAUGGAGUGUGUGCUUAGCAUGCAUGAGGUCCUGGGUUCCAUCCCCAGCCCCUCCA
rnacentral:tRNA from 1 species